CAGAACUUCAAUAUGACUGCUGAGAGUCUGAGUGUCAGCCUGAGGUGAACCCAGCUAUCCUCUGCCCUCCUGCUACCCACUGGGUUUGGAAGUAGGAUGGACCAGAAGGCCUGCUGCUAUUGUCACUAACAUUUCAUUGGGGUUGUUCUUCUGGAUGCCCAUAAGACAUAGGAGCAAAAUUAGGCCAUUUGGCCCAUCAAGUCUGCUCCGGCUGCACAGACGCAUUUUAUCUAUUGGACUCUACCGCUGCCACAAAACAACAAAUUUCACCACAUGGAACAGUGAUAUUGGACCUGAUUCUGACAUAGAUGGGAGUUUCAGUAAAACUAGCAACUUUAUCCCAGAUGGCUUAUUGAAGUGUUGGAGCUGUAUUCAUCCAGGCAAGCAGCGUAUUCCAUCGUAUUCCUAGCUUGUGCAUUGUGGAUGGUGUUCAUCCUAUCAGAUGCUAGGAAGUGGCUCACUCACUCCAGGACACCCGGUCUCCUGCUUGGUCUUGUAGUAAUAGUAUGUGGUUUGUUUGGGUGAAAGCUCCAUGCUGAUGGUGAGUUGUCUCAGUGAUGUUAAUGCAAUAGGUACUAAUGAUCUCUGAAACAGUCCUGACAAGGUCACCCAAACUCCACGAUAACCAUCAUAUUUACAUGAGCAAUUCCUAUUACAAACACCCCUACAGAAAUUUACAAAUAAGCUAAAAUCAGAGCAAGUGUAUCUACACACAAGAAAGUAAUCCAUUUACAGAGACAGGUGUGUAAAAAGGACCCGAAGGAUCACUGGGGACCCAAGUCACCCCAUCUACAACUGUUCCAGCUGCUACCAUCCAGGAAACAAUACUGCAACAUAAAAGCCAGGACCAACAGGCUUCUUCCACCUGGCCAUCAGACUGCUUAAUUCAUGCUGACACAACUGAAUUUCUAUUAUAUUGACUAUCCUGUCGUAUAUACUAUUUAUUAAAAAUGACUAUAAAUUGCACAUUUAGAAGGAGACGUAACGUAAGGUCUAUCACUCCUCAUGCGUAUGAAGGAAGUACUAAAGUCAAUGGAAUUCAAUUCAGUCCAGCCGCAGGGCAAAUCUUAUUUUCUCUGGACAUCCACAUUGGCCUGUGCCCAUACCGCAAUGGUUCUAUUUUGCCUUUCACCGCCUCACUGGGAACCCCUAUUGACAGAAACUAGAACUGCAGGCCAUUUUCACCAACGCACCAGCUUAGCUCCCAUCUGUUCCCGCGUCAGGAAUACUGUUCAGGGUUUCACCUGAAAUUAUUUAUUUUCCUUAUUCAGAAUAACCCUCUUAUUAAAUACAAGCUAAUGAUGCCAAACUAUUUGUAACUUUGUAUCAGCUCCAGAUUGCUUGCAGAUUUAUAGAACCACUGGAAUUGUUCCAUAGUAUCCAUGUGACCCACAAAUCUAAGUUAAUCACACUUCUUAGUUCUUGGUCUGUAGGCUGGCUCUUCAACGAUAGUUCUUCAACAUCAUUUGAAGUAUCUCAUUUCAGUACCCCACUGACUGAAGUAGUUUUUCCCUCUCAUCUUUCCAUCAAUUAACAAGCCUAUGCCUCCGAGUUAUUUAUUUCUCUGCUA